UACGUAGGGGGCUAGCGUUGUCCGGAAUCAUUGGGCGUAAAGCGCGUGUAGGCGGUCCGGUAAGUCCGCUGUGAAAGUCGGGGGGCUCAACCCUCGAAUGCCGGUGGAUACUGUCGGGCUAGAGUGCGGAAGAGGCGAGUGGAAUUCCUGGGUGUAGCGGUGAAAUGACGCAGAUAUCAGGAGGAACACCAAUUGCGAAGGCAGCUCGCUGGGACGUUACUGACGCUGGAGAACGCGAAAGCGUGGGGAGCAAACGG
rnacentral:rRNA from 1 species